rnacentral:tRNA from 1 species
UGUUACUUUGGCAGAUUAGUGUUUUAAAUUUAGAAUUUAAAUAUGUGUAUUAACACAAGUAAUA